rnacentral:rRNA from 1 species
AUUGAACGCUGGCGGCAGGCUUAACACAUGCAAGUCGAGCGCGCCGCGGACGGGUGUGUAUUGUCUGUGACCCUCCCUGCUGGAGGGGGAUAACUACUGGACGCGGUAUCUACUACCGCAUACCAUCAUUUGUGCCCAGAUGGGAUUAGCUUGUCGUUGGGGUAGUGUCUCACCUAGGCGACGCUCCCUAGCUGGUCUGAGAGGAUGGCCAGCCACACUGGAACUGAGCCACGGUCCAGACUCCUACGGGAGGCAGCGGUGGGGAAUAGUGCACAAUGGGCGCAAGCCUGAUGCAGCCAUGCCGCGUGUGUGAAGAAGGCCUGCGGGUUGUAAAGCACUGUCAGCGAGGAGGCGGUACUCGAAGAAGAAGCACCGGCUAACUCCGUGCCAGCAGCCGCGGUAAUUC